UAUUGGACGCUGGGCGAAAGCCUGAUCCAGCAAUGCCGCGUGAGUGAUGAAGGCCUUAGGGUUGUAAAGCUCUUUUACCCGGGAUGAUAAUGACAGUACCGGGAGAAUAAGCUCCGGCUAACUCCGUGCCGGCAGCCGCGGUAAUACGGAGGGAGCUUGCGUUGUUCGGAAUUACUGGGCGUAAAGCGCACGUAGGCGGCUUUGUAAGUCAGAGGUGAAAGCCUGGAGCUCAACUCCAGAACUGCCUUUGAGACUGCAUCGCUUGAAUCCCGGAGAGGUGAGUGGAAUUCCGAGUGUAGAGGUGAAAUUCGUAGAUAUUCGGAAGAACACCAGUGGCGAAGGCGGCUCACUGGACUGGUAUUGACGCUGAGGUGCGAAAGCGUGGGGAGCAAACAGG
rnacentral:rRNA from 1 species